AGCUUUCGAGCUCUUCCACUGGUUGGCGACCUUGCUGUUCUGUGUAGGCCAGAGGUCAUGCCAGGGCGUUGGGUACAUUUGUAGAAAUCAGCACACAGCACGUUCUCGCUGUGUGUGGGCACUUCACUUUGUCACCAUGGAACGUUCCUAGGCGUUUGUAACGGUAAGCAAGCUUCGCUGUGUAUCUGUGCUUCUUGGCAGGUAAGAUGAGAAUCGGUAAGCUGUAGUCAGGCCUACAGCGGCCUGAUUUAAUACAGAGGCUUCCUCGCGCCUCCGUCCCCAUUAUUUGCAUAGCUUCGGCAUGCAGCAUUGUAAGUGAAGACUUGUCUACUUCGUCAGCCUGGGUCAGACGUGCCAGUCAGAGGCGAUGGUAGCAGCCGCGUCUCCUGUCAUGGCGGGAGUGUCACGCCACGGCUUCAGUUGUUUAGCUUUGCAGUUCCUGACCCCUUAAUGCCUGAUCCAUCCAAACAGCCAAAGAACCAGCUGAAUCCAAUUGGCUCAUUACAGGAAUUAGCAAUUCACCAUGGCUGGCGGCUUCCUGAAUAUACCCUUUCCCAGGAAGGAGGACCCGCUCAUAAGAGAGAAUAUACCACGAUUUGCAGGCUAGAGUCAUUCAUGGAAACUGGAAAGGGGGCAUCAAAAAAACAAGCAAAGAGAAACGCUGCUGAGAAAUUCCUCGCCAAAUUUAGUAAUAUUUCUCCAGAGAACCACAUUUCUCUA
rnacentral:lncRNA from 1 species